rfam:Cucumis sativus cultivar 9930 chromosome 5, whole genome shotgun sequence.
UUUCCAACAAGUUAAAUGGAUAUCUCUACUUGUGGGCAAGCUCUAUCGGGUGAAGCUUAUGGUUAGAAGCAUCAGUGGCACAAUUUCUCCAACCUAUCAUCAAACUUUAAACAAGUAGGACAACACGAUUGGUGAUGUGGGAUGAACUAAAAGUCAGGUUAUAGUUCCUAAUUACACCUGAACUAUAUCCCCAAAGGAUGUUGGUCUAAGGCACUAGGACGAUGGUCAUGAAGUCAAAAUCCCAUAUGAGAAAUGUGUACAACUCACUUAUCGAUAAACUAGCUUUAGAAAUAGAUUGCGCUGAAGUGCGUGACAUAUACUUGAUCAUGGAGGCAAGAGUCAUGUAAACCCCAAAG